rnacentral:misc_RNA from 1 species
GAUGAAGAACGCAGCGAAAUGCGAUAAGUAAUGUGAAUUGCAGAAUUCAGUGAAUCAUCGAAUCUUUGAACGCAUCUUGCGCUCCUUGGUAUUCUGAGGAGCAUGCCUGUUUGAGUGUCAUUAAAUUCUCAACUACACUGACUUUGAAUUGGUGUGGCUUGGAUUUGGGGGGAAAAUUGUUGUGGGCUUUUUGUAUAGUCUGCUCCCCUGAAAUUUAUUAGCGGUACCUUUGUGGAACUGUCUACAGGUGUGAUAAUUAUCUACAUCUUAGACAUCUGCUGGAAUGCUGCUUUCUAAACCUUACUUGUAUUGACAAUCUUGACCUCAAAUCAGGUAGGACUACCCGCUGAACUUAAGCAUAUCAAUAAGCGGAGGA